UAGGGAAUCUUCGGCAAUGGACGAAAGUCUGACCGAGCAACGCCGCGUGAGUGAAGAAGGUUUUCGGAUCGUAAAACUCUGUUGUUAGAGAAGAACAAGGACGUUAGUAACUGAACGUCCCCUGACGGUAUCUAACCAGAAAGCCACGGCUAACUACGUGCCAGCAGCCGCGGUAAUACGUAGGUGGCAAGCGUUGUCCGGAUUUAUUGGGCGUAAAGCGAGCGCAGGCGGUUUGUUAAGUCAGAUGUGAAAGCCCCCGGCUCAACCGGGGAGGGUCAUUGGAAACUGGGAGACUUGAGUGCAGAAGAGGAGAGUGGAAUUCCAAGUGUAGCGGUGAAAUGCGUAGAUAUAUGGAGGAACACCAGUGGCGAAGGCGGCUCUCUGGUCUGUAACUGACGCUGAGGCUCGAAAGCGUGGGGAGCAAACAGG
rnacentral:rRNA from 1 species